GAGAGCAAGCCAAGAAUUACAUACAUACUACAUUCUUCUUCCUGGUUCAGGUUCCUGAGAUAUCAGACUGACCUAAUGAAGCACUCACAACUCAACUGAACAUUGGGAUAGUUUUAAAGAAUGAUAUCAGACCUGCAAGGAAAUUGAACCGUCGACCGGGCUGACCAGAAGCAACAUGACCAGUGUUAACUCCCCCGCCUGCCUCCUGGCUCGUAACCAGUUCUAUAGAAACACAACAAGCCCUACAGAGAGUAUAAAGCCUAAUGCAGUCUACAGCCUCUCUGAUUGGUCGAUGCUACAAGUACUGGUCUGGGUGACCAUGUCAACACAACCAGGGUUCCCAGGAGCAGGGGAUUUACUAAUCACCUCUUUAUAUCAUCCUCAGGGUUCCCAGGAGCAGGGGAUUUACUAAUCACCUCUUCAUAUCCUCCUCAGGGUUCCCAGGAGCAGGGGAUUUACUAAUCACCUCUUUAUAUCAUCCUCAGGGUUCCCAGGAGCAGGGGAUUUACUAAUCACCUCUUCAUAUCCUCCUCAGGGUUCCCAGGAGCAGGGGAUUUACUAAUCACCUCUUCAUAUCCUCCUCAGGGUUCCCAGGAGCAGGGGAUUUACUAAUCACCUCUUUAUAUCCUCCUCAGGGUUCCCAGGAGCAGGGGAUUUACUAAUCAUCUCUUCAUAUCCUCCUCAGGGUUCCCAGGAGCAGGGGAUUUACUAAUCAUCUCUUCAUAUCCUCCUCAGGGUUCCCAGGAGCAGGGGAUUUACUAAUCACCUCUUCAUAUCCUCCUCAGGGUUCCCAGGAGCAGGGGAUUUACUAAUCACCUCUUCAUAUCCUCCUCAGGGUUCCCAGGAGCAGGGGAUUUACUAAUCACCUCUUCAUAUCCUCCUCAGGGUUCCCAGGAGCAGGGGAUUUACUAAUCACCUCUUCAUAUCCUCCUCAGGGUUCCCAGGAGCAGGGGAUUUACUAAUCACCUCUUCAUAUCCUCCUCAGGGUUCCCAGGAGCAGGGGAUUUACUAAUCAUCUCUUCAUAUCCUCCUCAGGGUUCCCAGGAGCAGGGGAUUUACUAAUCACCUCUUCAUAUCCUCCUCAGGGUUCCCAGGAGCAGGGGAUUUACUAAUCACCUCUUCAUAUCCUCCUCAGGGUUCCCAGGAGCAGGGGAUUUACUAAUCACCUCUUCAUAUCCUCCUCAGGGUUCCCAGGAGCAGGGGAUUUACUAAUCAUCUCUUCAUAUCCUCCUCAGGGUUCCCAGGAGCAGGGGAUUUACUAAUCAUCUCUUCAUAUCCUCCUCAGGGUUCCCAGGAGCAGGGGAUUUACUAAUCACCUCUUCAUAUCCUCCUCAGGGUUCCCAGGAGCAGGGGAUUUACUAAUCACCUCUUCAUAUCCUCCUCAGGGUUCCCAGGAGCAGGGGAUUUACUAAUCACCUCUUCAUAUCCUCCUCAGGGUUCCCAGGAGCAGGGGAUUUACUAAUCACCUCUUCAUAUCCUCCUCAGGGUUCCCAGGAGCAGGGGGAAUAUCUAAAGGAAGGUGGGUCAGUGUGGUUCUGGGGGAGCCCCAAACCAUGCACCGCCCCGUCCAGCCCACCGCCCCGUCCAGCCCACCGCCCUCGCCCAGUGCUCCCGUCCAGCACCCCGGUCCAGCGCCCCCCAGUCCAGCUCCCCGGUCCAGCUCCCCGGUCCAGCUCCCGGUCCAGCGCCCCCGGUCCAGCGUCCCCGGUCCAGCGCCCCGGGUCCAGCGCCCCCGGUCCAGCGCCCCCCAGCCAACAGAGCGGUCCAGUAGAGUCACACCACCACCAAUCAACAGGUUGAAACACAAAGAGGGAAAGACUCCAAGAGGAAGACGAGGGAGAAGACAUCUUCCACUCUGUCUGUCCUCUCAGCACAGAAAUAUGGACUUGAUCAAGCCAGUCGGUGUCGAACAUGUUUUACAUUUUGCGUCACUCCCUAUCCUACCCUGAAAAAUGCCAUUUCUGCAAGCGCUCUCUAAAAACAGACUUCAGCCUUUAUUCAAUCUCUAUUCGCUGAGGCGUUACAGAUUGCACGCUAUAAAUUUAAAGGUCAUUUCUGAUUGAGUCGACAUAUUACAGCGUUUACCGUGAAUGCACUCUCCACUAACAUUGCCUUUUAAAUUUAAAUCGUGACGUAACGCUGAACUUCCGCGAUAUGGAUUGAAAAGACCCUCCCUUUAUAUUAUUCCAUACAUUGGUAUAAGAUAUGAAUUCAAUCAAACACACAGUCCAGUUAUACACCCUCUGCUCCUACUCUCCUUUUUCUAUUGUUAAUUUUCCCCUCCCUUCCUUUCUUCAUUUCAUAACUUUGGCCACAGCCUGUUCUACUCUGUGCAGCAUAACUAACGGAACAAGAUGUUCCCUUUUCUCCUGAUACUGGCUGGUUGCCAGGCAGCAAUAUGGGAACAUUCAUUCAUGAGUUGAAUAAAACAGAAACCUGUUACCUGGUUCAGAGCUAGAGAGACAGGCAGCAGAAACCUGUUACCUGGUUCAGAGCUAGAGAGAGACAGGCCGACAGGCAGCAGAAACCUGUUGCCUGGUUCAGAGCUAGAGAGAGACAGGCAGACAGGCAGCAGAAACCUGAUGCCUGGUUCAGAGCUAGAGAGAGACAGGCCGACAGGCAGCAGAAACCUGAUGCCUGGUUCAGAGCUAGAGAGAGACAGGCCGACAGGCAGCAGAAACCUGAUGCCUGGUUCAGAGCUAGAGAGACAGGCCGACAGGCAGCAGAAACCUGAUGCCUGGUUCAGAGCUAGAGAGAGACAGGCCGACAGGCAGCAGAAACCUGAUGCCUGGUUCAGAGCUAGAGAGAGACAGGCCGACAGGCAGCAGAAACCUGUUGCCUGGUUCAGAGCUAGAGAGAGACAGGCCCACAGGCAGCAGAAACCUGUUACCUGGUUCAGAGCUAGAGAGAGACAGGCAGCAGAAACCUGAUGCCUGGUUCAGAGCUAGAGAGAGACAGGCCGACAGGCAGCAGAAACCUGAUGCCUGGUUCAGAGCUAGAGAGAGACAGGCCGACAGGCAGCAUAAACCUGUUACCUGGUUCAGAGCUAGAGAGAGACAGGCCGACAGGCAGCAGAAACCUGAUGCCUGGUUCAGAGCUAGAGAGAGACAGGCCGACAGGCAGCAGAAACCUGUUGCCUGGUUCAGAGCUAGAGAGACAGGCAGCAGAAAUCUGAUGCCUGGUUCAGAGCUAGAGAGAGACAGGCCGACAGGCAGCAGAAACCUGUUACCUGGUUCAGAGCUAGAGAGACAGGCCGACAGGCAGCAGAAACCUGAUGCCUGGUUCAGAGCUAGAGAGACAGGCAGCAGAAACCUGUUACCUGGUUCAGAGCUAGAGAGAGACAGGCAGCAGAAACCUGUUACCUGGUUCAGAGCUAGAGAGACAGGCAGCAGAAACCUGUUACCUGGUUCAGAGCUAGAGAGAGACAGGCAGCAGAAACCUGAUGCCUGGUUCAGAGCUAGAGAGACAGGCAGCAGAAACCUGUUACCUGGUUCAGAGCUAGAGAGAGACAGGCAGCAGAAACCUGUUACCUGGUUCAGAGCUAGAGAGACAGGCAGCAGAAACCUGUUACCUGGUUCAGAGCUAGAGAGACAGGCAGCAGCAACCUGUUACCUGGUUCAGAGCUAGAGAGACAGACUGAUUCUCUCCCUCCCUUUUUCUCUCUGUGAGAAGUAUGUUCCCACCCACACACAACUACCCAGUGACCUGGAAAAACUGCUGCUCAGUCUAAAGAUAAAAGCACUUCUGGAACAUAAUGAUCCUUGUUUGUUUUUCCCUGGUCCCUUCUGUUCUAUGUGUUUGGUUCCUGGGUAGCAAGGCAUGACACAUUCACGUAAUCUAAUGGCUACAACGCUAGUAUUGUAGUCUAUGGAUCGACAAUAGCAUUUAGUUAGCUUCUGGUUAAAUCCCCAAGACAGAUCUGUCAAUGUAUUGACUGAUAUGCAAAUAUAAUGUGCUUUAUAUAUUCACAAACAUUAACCUCUGAUGGAAGUGUAAUUUGUAUAUAGUAAAAUAGUCUUUCAUACUUGUUUUAUGCAACCAACCUCACUUGAUUUACCAAAUAAAACCAUAAUAGAAAGAUAUUUUUAAUCCCA